rnacentral:rRNA from 1 species
AACGAACGCUGGCGGCAUGCCUAACACAUGCAAGUCGAACGAGACCUUCGGGUCUAGUGGCGCACGGGUGCGUAACGCGUGGGAACCUGCCCUUAGGUUCGGAAUAACUCCCCGAAAGGGGUGCUAAUACCGGAUAAUGUCUUCGGACCAAAGAUUUAUCGCCUUUGGAUGGGCCCGCGUUGGAUUAGCUAGUUGGUAGGGUAAAAGCCUACCAAGGCGACGAUCCAUAGCUGGUCUGAGAGGAUGAUCAGCCACACUGGGACUGAGACACGGCCCAGACUCCUACGGGAGGCAGCAGUGGGGAAUAUUGGACAAGGGGCGAAAGCCUGAUCCAGCAAGGCCGCGUGAGUGAUGAAGGCCUUAGGGUUGUAAAGCUCUUUUACCCGGGAUGAUAAUGACAGUACCGGGAGAAUAAGCUCCGGCGAACUCCGU